rnacentral:rRNA from 1 species
AUACGUAGGGUGCAAGCGUUAAUCGGAAUUACUGGGCGUAAAGCGUGCGCAGGCGGUUUUGUAAGACAGUGGUGAAAUCCCCGGGCUCAACCUGGGGACUGCCAUUGUGACUGCAGGGCUGGAGUGCGGCAGAGGGGGAUGGAAUUCCGCGUGUAGCAGUGAAAUGCGUAGAUAUGCGGAGGAACACCGAUGGCGAAGGCAAUCCCCUGGGCCUGCACUGACGCUCAUGCACGAAAGCGUGGGGAGCAAACAGGAUUAGAUACCCUGGUAGUCCACGCCCUAAACGAUGUCAACUGGUUGUUGGGGAUUUAUUUUCUCAGUAACGAAGCUAACGCGUGAGGUUGACCGCCUGGGGAGUACGGCCGCAAGGUUAAAACUCAAAGGAAUUGACGGGG